AUUGAACGCUGGCGGCAUGCUUUACACAUGCAAGUCGAACGGCAGCGCGGGCUUCGGCCUGGCGGCGAGUGGCGAACGGGUGAGUAAUACAUCGGAACGUGCCCAGUAGUGGGGGAUAGCUCGGCGAAAGCCGGAUUAAUACCGCAUACGACCUGAGGGUGAAAGCGGGGGAUCUUCGGACCUCGCGCUAUUGGAGCGGCCGAUGGCAGAUUGGCUAGUUGGUGGGGUAAAGGCCUACCAAGGCGACGAUCUGUAGCUGGUCUGAGAGGACGACCAGCCACACUGGGACUGAGACACGGCCCAGACUCCUACGGGAGGCAGCAGUGGGGAAUUUUGGACAAUGGGCGAAAGCCUGAUCCAGCAAUGCCGCGUGUGCGAUGAAGGCCUUCGGGUUGUAAAGCACUUUUGGCGGGAACGAAAAGGACUGUGCCAAUACCACGGUUCGAUGACGGUACCCGCAGAAUAAGCACCGGCUAACUACGUG
rnacentral:rRNA from 1 species